rnacentral:rRNA from 1 species
GGGGGGGGGGGGGGGGGGGCGGGGGGGGGGGAGGGCGGGGGGGGGGGCCCGCUUGGGGGGGACGCGAGGGGCGAGCGGGUGAGUAACACGUGAGUAACCUACCCUUGGCUUUGGGAUAACUUCGGGAAACUGGGGCUAAUACCGGAUAGGAGCUCCUGCUGCAUGGUGGGGGUUGGAAAGUUUCGGCGGUUGGGGAUGGACUCGCGGCUUAUCAGCUUGUUGGUGGGGUAGUGGCUCACCAAGGCUUUGACGGGUAGCCGGCCUGAGAGGGUGACCGGCCACAUUGGGACUGAGAUACGGCCCAGACUCCUACGGGAGGCAGCAGUGGGGAAUAUUGCACAAUGGGCGGAAGCCUGAUGCAGCAACGCCGCGUGCGGGAUGACGGCCUUCGGGUUGUAAACCGCUUUCGCCUGUGACGAAGCGUGAGUGACGGUGAUGGGUAAAGAAGCACCGGCUAACUACGUG